GACGGAGGAUGCAAGCGUUAUCCGGAAUGAUUGGGCGUAAAGCGUCCGCAGGUGGCAGUUCAAGUCUGCUGUCAAAGACCGGGGCUUAACUUCGGAAAGGCAGUGGAAACUGAACAGCUAGAGUAUGGUAGGGGCAGAGGGAAUUCCCGGUGUAGCGGUGAAAUGCGCAGAUAUCGGGAAGAACACCCGUGGCGAAGGCGGCUCUCUGGGACGGUACUGACGCUGAGACGCGAAAGCGUGGGGAGCGAACAGG
rnacentral:rRNA from 1 species